rnacentral:lncRNA from 1 species
AACGGUAUGUCUUCUUCUCAGCUCCCUCUCUUAUCUCCCUCUGUAAAUUCUCCAUUUAUCCAUACAAGUUCUGGCGGCAGUCGCUGCCUUCUUUUCCAUCAAAAAACGGUAUGUCUUCGUCCGCCUAGGUACGAACCGGACGAUAUCCGAACUUACUACAAAAGGCCUCGUAGAAGUUUAGAACUCAAGUGAUUGUCCACAUCGAGGUUCACAAAGGUGCCGCC